rnacentral:misc_RNA from 1 species
GGCCCGUAAAGAGUGGUAAUUUGGGUAAGCAGAUUGAUUUUGUUUUGAUUUCUUAUUUUAAUUUUUUUUAAUGAUUAAUUUAACAGUACUUAAUAGACAUUGUUUUUAUUUCUGCUAUGCACAUCUAUUUUGGCUUUUGGUUGAAUGAAUAUUUUGGGUGUGAAUGACAACCUCGAAUAUUGGCCCCAAUAAUGCUAUUGACUUUGAUAGAAUGAAAACUUGUUAAUUAAGUUAAUUUGUUAUUAGUAAGUGAAUAUUCUGAUUGUUUUAAAACAUUGGAAAAAGAAAGUUCUGUAAUAUGACCAAUUGUAAUAAUUUAGUCAACUUUUCUGCACUGCCACCAAUCAUGCCGGAGUUUUGGCAGAAGCUGCAUAUUGAAGACUUAAGAAUCUACUAUAGUUGAGAUUUGUUUAUUGUGGUCCACAUUUCUAAGUCUUUGGCUGAGCUUAUUGUUGAAUUUUCAAUUUCUGCUUAUCAACUUGUGUCAAAAAAG